AUAAAACGUGAUUCGGCGAGACCGUUAAGGUUUCGCGAAAAACUUUUGUAUUUAAAACCUUCACUCUUUUGUAAAACAAAUUUUUUUAUUAUAAAAAAUAAAAAGA
rnacentral:misc_RNA from 1 species